UUCGAGUGGCGGACGGGUGAGUAACGCGUGGGUAACCUGCCUUACACAGGGGGAUAACACCUGGAAACAGGUGCUAAUACCGCAUAAGCGCACAGGGCCGCAUGGCCCGGUGUGAAAAACUCCGGUGGUAUAAGAUGGACCCGCGUCUGAUUAGCUUGUUGGCGGGGUAGAGGCCCACCAAGGCGACGAUCAGUAGCCGGCCUGAGAGGGUGGACGGCCACAUUGGGACUGAGACACGGCCCAAACUCCUACGGAAGGCAGCAG
rnacentral:rRNA from 1 species